ACAAAGUGAUCGGUGAGGAUUAUGACCCUCAUGCCUACGUAUCCUGAUAGUGUAAUAAGGAAUUCAGAGCUCCGUAGUUCAUGAAACUAAUGGUGGAAGAUGAAAGAAGUUGUGAUAAAGGUAUGGUUUUAACCAAAGGAUAAUGUUAUUAGAACCCAUAAGGUAGGUAUAUCUGAACCAAUGAGAAAAACUGGCAUAUGGCA
rnacentral:lncRNA from 1 species